rnacentral:lncRNA from 1 species
UACCAAAUCAAAGCUUUUAGCGAGAUAGCUGCGUUCAACAAUAAUGGCUUCAAUUUCUUCUUCUCCGAGGGCUGCUGCGGCCAUCCUUGUUGUCUUAGCCAUUGUUCUCAUUCCAACGCUGAUGUUGCCAUCUGAGGCAGCGAGACCAACCCGAGGUAUGAAACGCCUGAUUAAGAAUUACUGGAACAAAAACUUUGUCAAUGUAUUACUACAAUAAUUGUUCAAGAACAAAAUAAUUUGACUUGUUUCAUCAUCUGUUUCUGUAUAAUAAUUUGGUUCUGCAUGCAGAACUUCUGGCGCGACCCCCAAUCUGCCCUGCCUGCGUUUGUUGCGCACCACCGCCCUCCCCGAACAAAUGCUGCCCCUGCGUCUGUUCCACACCUGGGGGACCCCUUGUACCUGUUGCCGGAACUACUUCGCCAUGACUUCUUGAGGGCGCAAGUUUGUUUAAUUUGCUACGGAAUCCUGUAGCUGUGUAUGCACUUCUAGCUUAUCUUAUAAAUAAGUGUAUGAAUAAGAACUUCUCAGAUUAUGGAUAUCAUGUGGAAGUGACUUGCGUACUUUCCUAAUGAAUCAAGGGAUUUUGGUUAUCAGUUUGCUUAUACUUUUACUCUGCUUACCAUACUAGAGUUACCCAAAGCAGACAUUUUGUUUAACAGCAAAAGAGUUUGGGAUUAUUCUCAUCUGUUUAUCCUCGAAAAUCAGAUUAUACACAA